CUUGAACUUGUCGUCAUUGGUACGUUGCUUGAUAUCAAUGGCUACUGAAUCUUUAAUGGUCAUAGCACGUACCUGGUUUAGGAAGUCAGCAUCAAAUGAUACAAUAGUAGCACAAAGUUGAAAUCUCUCUGGCUUCAAUAACGUUGUACAUUGUUGAUCAAACGUUGCUUCUCCAGCCUUUGGUGCAAGAUACGAUCUCCUUGAUAAAGCAUC
rnacentral:lncRNA from 1 species